rnacentral:rRNA from 1 species
GACUCUCGGCAACGGAUAUCUCGGCUCUCGCAUCGAUGAAGAACGUAGCAAAAUGUGAUACUUGGUGUGAAUUGCAGAAUCCCGUGAACCAUCGAGUCUUUGAACGCAAGUUGUGCCCCAAGCCUUCUGGCCGAGGGCACGUCUGCCUGGGUGUCA